rnacentral:rRNA from 1 species
GUCCACUGCCAUACCACCCUGAAGCUAAGCAGGGUAGGGCCUGGUUAGUACUUGGAUGGGAGAAAAAUGAUAUUUGCAGAAAAAUGAGUGAAUAUCAGAUGACGUCUAUA